rnacentral:rRNA from 1 species
UACGGAGGGUGCGAGCGUUGUCCGGAAUCAUUGGGCGUAAAGGGCGCGUAGGUGGCGCGGUCAGUUCGUGGUGAAAGCGCGGGGCUCAACCCCGCGUCGGCCAUGAAUACUGCUGGGCUGGAGCACUGUAGAGGCAGGCGGAAUUCCAGGUGUAGCGGUGAAAUGCGUAGAUAUCUGGAGGAACACCGGUGGCGAAGGCGGCAUCCUGGGACCGAUACUGACGCUGAGGAGCGAAAGCCAGGGGAGCAAACGGG